rnacentral:misc_RNA from 1 species
UCCGGUUUGUCACCGGCAGUCCCAUUAGAGUGCCCAACUAAAUGUAGCAACUAAUGGCAAGGGUUGCGCUCGUUGCGGGACUUAACCCAACAUCUCACGACACGAGCUGACGACAGCCAUGCAGCACCUGUGUUCUAGCUCCCUUUCGGGCACCCUCACAUCUCUGCGAGGUUCUAGACAUGUCAAGGGUAGGUAAGGUUUUUCGCGUUGCAUCGAAUUAAACCACAUCAUCCACCGCUUGUGCGGACCCCCGCCAAUUCCUUUGAGUUUCAGCCUUGCGGCCGUACUCCCCAGGCGGGGCACUUACUGCGUUAGCGACGGCACUCAGAGGGUCGCUCCCCCAAGCACCUAGUGCCCAUCGUUUACGGCGUGGACUAC